rnacentral:rRNA from 1 species
CAAACCAAAGCUGGCGACCGGCGGCACGGGUGAGUAACACGUAUCCAACCUGCCUCAUACUCGGGGAUAGCCUUUCGAAAGAAAGAUUAAUAUCCGAUAGCAUAUAUUUCCCGCAUGGGUUUUAUAUUAAAGAAAUUCGGUAUGAGAUGGGGAUGCGUUCCAUUAGUUUGUUGGGGGGUAACGGCCCACCAAGACUACGAUGGAUAGGGGUUCUGAGAGGAAGGUCCCCCACAUUGGAACUGAGACACGGUCCAA